UCGAGACGGACGGACACACGACAUAUGUUUUUAUAUCUUGUUCGUGAACUUUUUGUCGUUAUUGAGUUUUGAUCUCAAACGUUAACGAGAGGGUAGAAAAAAUUGAAAAUGCGUACAUAUAAGCGAAAGACAAAUAAAGCUUCUACAACACAGGAACAACUUCAAACAGCUGCAAAUGCCAUUUUAAAAGAAGGAAAGAGUAUAAGAGCAACAGCUGAUGAGCUUUAUAUUCCAAGAAUGACUUUAUCCAGAUAUAUGGAAAAAUUUAAGUCACAUUAUAAUAAUGUAAAGAGUUAAUUUCAUUAAAAUUAUUUAAUAAUA